AGAGUUUGAUCUUGGCUCAGGAUUAACGCUGGCGGCAUGCCUAAUACAUGCAAGUCGAACGAGGGUGGCAAUACCCUAGUGGCGAACGGGUGAGUAACACGUGGGAAAUCUGCCUUUAAGUCGAGGAUAACUGUUGGAAACGACAGCUAAAACUGGAUAGGUUAUUUGGGGGCAUCCUUAAAUAAUUAAAAGUCCUUUACGGGAAUGCUUAAAGAUGAUCCUGCGUCGCAUUAGCUAGUUGGUGAGGUAGCGGCUCACCAAGGCGACGAUGCGUAGCUGUGCUGAGAGGCAAAACAGCCACACUGGGACUGAGACACGGCCCAGACUCCUACGGGAGGCAGCAGUAGGGAAUUUUCGGCAAUGGGCGAAAGCCUGACCGAGCAAUGCCGCGUGAAUGAAGAAGGUCUUCGGAUUGUAAAAUUCUGUUAUUUGUGGAAGAAGGGUAUUUGGAGGAAAUGCCAAGUAUUUGACGGUACCAAAUGAGAAAGCCCCGGCUAACUAUGUGCCAGCAGCCGCGGUAAUACAUAGGGGGCGAGCGUUAUCCGGAAUUAUUGGGCGUAAAGCGUGCGUAGGUGGUCAGUUAAGUCUGACGUGAAAUCCCUUGGCUUAACCAGGGGGGGUCGUUGGAAACUGGCUGACUUGAAUCCAGAAGGGGUAAGUGGAAUUCCAUGUGUAGCGGUAAAAUGCAUAGAGAUAUGGAGGAACACCAGUGGCGAAGGCGGCUUACUGGUCUGGAAUUGACACUGAGCCAAGAUCAAACUCUA
rnacentral:rRNA from 1 species